rnacentral:rRNA from 1 species
AUUGAACGCUGGCGGCAGGCUUAACACAUGCAAGUCGAACGAGUGGCGGACGGGUGAGUAAUGCUUGGGAAUCUAGCUUAUGGAGGGGGAUAACUACGGGAAACUGUAGCUAAUACCGCCUACCCUCGGAUUAGCCCAAUUGGGAUUAGGUAGUUGGUGGGUUCAAGGCUCACCAAGCCUACGAUCUCUAGCUGGUCUGAGAGGAUGACCAGCCAUCCUGGGACUGAGACACGGCCCAGACUCCUACGGGAGGCAGCAGUGGGGAAUAUUGCGCAAGGGGGGCAACCCUGAUGCAGCCAUGCCGCGUGAAUGAAGAAGGCCUUCGGGUUGUAAAGUACGUUCAGCGGGGAGGCGUUACCCGCAGAAGAAGCACCGGCUAACUCCGGGCCAGCAGCCGCGGUAAUUC